CAAGGAACAAGUACAUACAUACAUACGUCCGUAAAUCUAUUCAUUGCAGAAGAUAACGUAGAUAAUGGUAAAUUCUGAGGUAGGAGAAGCGUGUAGAUCGAGAUGUGAAACAAAAUCCUGAGUAAUAAUCAAGUAACAGCAAAUAUAAUAGAGAAGUGAAUAACGAAUUCCAGAAUUUGUUAUAGAAACAAUAGAGAAAUACAGUAAACAUUAACAAGAGAGAAUGAAACUUGUUAUUACAAAGUUAAGAUUCUAUUAUAGCAUAUUAAUCUAAAAUUUUAAAGGAGAUAAUAAUCCUUAAAAGUUUGAAAAGUUAAGAAUUACAUUUUUUGUAGGUGUUCUGAUCUAUUUGACUGCUUUGACAUACAAUUUAGUUCGUCAAAAUGGUCAAAACACCAGAAGCACUGUAACUAUAACUCGAAGUAUGGAAUCGUCGAUCGCAAGGAUCUGUUAUAACAAUCCCGAGACUAAGUGCAUAAACUUUACGCUAUCAGCGUGCAUCUUUUGUGUUAUAAUCCAUUCGGGUGUUGUAAUCCAACGAGGAGUACGCUGUCCACCAACAGGAAAGAGUUUAGCAGAAAUGUUUUAUUCAUCUGUUUAAUCAACAAUUAAGAUUAAGAUACAUCUCGUGCCACAUCAAAGGUGUAACAUCAAGUAGGUGCCCUUGAAGUACUAGCGUGAUUUGAUUUCCAUCUUUCUUUUUCGCUUGUUAAAACGUGCGGCUUCCAGCGACUCUCGAGUGUUACUUGAUUUUGUAAAAAAGAGAUACCAUAAUAAAUAUGUACAAAGAAGUGUGAGGAAGGGAUGGUAGAAUAGUAAAGCGGGGUAAAAGCUAUCGUUGACUGCACUUGUAAUUCAAAUUUUCUGUUCCGCAGCGCAAGAUGCGUCAAUGUUGGCGAAAAGACAGAGCGAGAGAGAAAGAGAAAUAACUUAAUUAACUGGUUCCGGUGUGUGCGAGAAUCGUUCGUAAAAUCCGUAAAGUGAGAGAAAGAAACAGAACGGUGAGCUUAUUCAACUCCGUAAAACUGUUUACGCAUAAAAGUAUCUUCAUAAGCAACAUACCGCUUAGCGAAAAAAGAAGUCAUUGCCGCUAAAUGCGGCGUGAAAGCGACACACGGACACUAGUCUGAUUUUUCAGGGACACGUUUGAUCUCGUCACUCGGAGAUUAACCUAUCUCUGACGUAUCUACCAGUGGUUACCAACGUGAAUAUAAAUAUAUAUACAUAGCUAACGGUGUCGCGCGACACAGGCGUAACCCUCACAAGCUGACCGGCACGUGUCGAGACAAGGCGGUUAGUUGAAAGCGUCGGACAGAAAGGCAGACAGAAAAGAGAAAGACAGGUAGAACCAGAGAAUAAAGGACCGAGGGGUGGGGUUAGAAUUAUACGUGCCCCGAGGAAAACUCAAUUCGCGGCCACUUUGACGCACCCUCCAUCUGGGUGGAUCGUCGGAUAGGCGCUGAUACAAAUCCACAAGAUAUAUUCCUUCUUCUUCCUUCUCCUCUCUAUAACCAUAGUCUGUGCCCUCUCCUUUUCUCUCUCUCAUCAGAGCACAUAGCCGUAGUAGUUUAUCCUGCUUUCUACCCCACUGGUGUACACCCGUGCACGUGCAGAUACUCAUUCGUACACACCGACAGGCCUCGCAGACACGUGCGUGGACCGGCAACAAUUCCUAACCAAAAAGCCGGAGUCACCCUCGCCUCUUCCCCUCUUGCCCCUCGCACGGGAGUGUCUGGCUGCGACCGUCAUCGGCGGGGCAUCGAGAUGCGGGGAAGUAAGAGGGGAAAACACCCGGCACAGUGGCGAGCGGCAAGAGAGGAGUGGGAACACAGACCGACAGUGGCACAGGGGGGAAGCUACGUACUCGUGACGUUGCGUCUAGACGCCCCCUCCACCUCAACCCGAAACGACGUCCACACAACGAGCGCCGAGCCAGCGCAGCGCCGAGGAACAUCUCUCGGUUUUCUCCGCCUCUCGUGUACGUAAAUUGCCGAGCACCGAACUCAGUGUUUUAUUCUCGCGGCGCUAGAUGUCGCUCCCGUUGACUGAAUUAACUAGCGCGACCGCGGAUUUUCAAAGUGCGCGGGUUUUUCUGUAUUCGUAUGGUUUACCUGCGUUGCGCACAAGUAGUACCGUUUCAGUUUAUUUGAAUUUCUUUGCAUUUCUGUAGUGAUUCUUGCUUUGAGAAAGUGACAGUGUCCGGUGUAUUCUGUGGCGGUUACGUUGAUGAUUAUUUUGGAAGAACGAUGACGACUUUUCGUUUUGGAACGCGAGUCCCCGUGUAAGACGACUGAUACGUCGUAAUUGCUCCUGGAGACGGAUAACCGGGGUCGAUUUUGCGAAAAUUCGUUGGAUCGGAACUCGCGAGUGCGGUGAAGGAACGAACAAUACAGAGAAUGCCAGGGCGGGCAGCGGAGGCGCGUGUACUCGCGAAUGCUCGUCCGGCGAUCGUUCGCGACAACGAUCGGCACGACUCGCGAUGAUGGCGGAGCGCGAUCGCGUAGCAGCGAUAUCGUCGGUGGAGUUGGCGCGACGCGGAUACCUCGGUAGAAACGUUCGACACGCGACGGGAUAAAUGCGAGACCGAAAUCUCGUGGGUGAACCAGUUGUCGCGGCGACGAAGAAGAAAAAGAAGAAAAAGA